GUCCCCCACAGACUGGGCGUGUGGUGCUCGGGGGACCAGGGAGCUAUUUCUGGCAAGGCCAGAUCCUGUCUGCCACCCAGGAACAGAUUGCAGCCUCCUACUACCCCGAAUACCUGAUCAACCUGGUUCAGGGGCAGCUGCAGACUCGCCAGGCCAGUUCCAUCUACGAUGACAGCUACCUGGGAUACUCUGUGGCUGUGGGGGAAUUCAGCGGUGAUGACACAGAAGGUGAGUGCAUCC